CGAGGAGGAGGCUUUUAGGAUUAUGGCAAGAAGUCAAGUGCCUGCCUAGCAUGCACAAAAAAAAAAAAAAAAACCACAGAAGCCACUGUGGUUAAUGCUGUGUCCGAGACUCCACUACUCUUCCAGCUCUCAGUGCAGGGAUUACAGGCCUGUAACAUGAUGGAACCCAGAGCUGAGGGAAGGCCAGCAUGAGAUCUGGAAACAAUGUGGUAUCUACCGACACACACAAGACAGAGUCAUUCUGUCUCAGUUGCUGCAACUAACAUGGAUCCAACUGCUGCUUCCUGAAAGGGAGUAACCUAGGACAAGACACCACUUGAAAGUGGUGAUCCAUCAUGGACAAGUAAAAGCCUUCCUGUUAACGAUCCUAAGGAGCACACAUCCUGUAUACAGCAGAGACUCGAGGAAGUCCAAUGGUGCAAUUGUGUAGCUUGAGGUACUUCUACCAUAGAGAGUCAAUGAAACGGAAUACACGGCGUACUUCAUGGUGACAGUCUCCAGCUGAGACGGAAUACACGGAGUACUUCAUGGUGACAGUCUCCAGCUGAGACGGAAUACACGGCGUACUUCAUGGCGACAGUCUCCAGCUAUGUCAACUGCAGGGACUUACUGUGAGCAUUUAGAAUGCCCUGCUCUAGAACUCCAAAAGGCCCCUGAAGACCUUUAGUCAUUGUCUCAAAUCUGCAGUUACCUUGGAUUCCAGAAACAGGAUGGCUAAACAUCUUCCGGACAAGUGACUAAAGCCACCCCCGACCAAUCUUGAGCCUCAGAAGACAGAGCACUCAAUUCCCCAUGCCUGUGAGGCAGCGCCUGGAGCUGAGGCACUGCCUAAAGCCAUGAGGACUUCCUGGAGGCAGCUUCAGAAGCAGACUGGAGAUAAAGAUCAACCGGACAUACCUAGACCGGAACUGAUAAACUAUGUGGACCUCUUGUUCUCUGCUCAAACAGUUCCUCCUGCUUAACCAGGAUUCAUGGCAGUCCCCUGAAGAGGAACUUGAGGUCACUGGAGCCCCUUCUCUGUUCCUCCCACAGUGAGCCACUUUGAUUAAAUCUCCAUUUUUCUGUGUUUCA